ACAGCAGCCGCCACGGUAAUACGAAGGGGGCUAGCGUUGUUCGGAUUUACUGGGCGUAAAGGGUGCGUAGGCGGAUUGUUAAGUCAGGGGUGAAAUCCCAAGGCUCAACCUCGGAACUGCCUUUGAUACUGGCGAUCUUGAGUGUGGGAGAGGCGAGUGGAAUGGUCGGUGUAGCGGUGAAAUGCGUAGAUAUCGAUCGGAACACCCAUGGCGAAGGCAGCUCGCUGGCCUAUAACUGACGCUGAGGCGCGAAAGCGUGAGGAGCAAACAGGAUUAGAUACCCCGGUAGUCCCUGUCUCUUAUAC
rnacentral:rRNA from 1 species